ensembl:lncRNA
UUCACGGUCGAGAAGCAGAUCAACGAAGUCACCUACAGGCUACACCUACCCCCCAGGUACCACAUUCACCCCUCUUUCCAUGUGUCCCUACUAAAACCCUUCUCUCCUGGCACUCCAGAUGCCCCAGAACCACAGGAACCCCCUCCUCUGGAGAUCCUCGAUCAACCAUCUGUGUACCAAGUUAAGGACAUCCUGGACUCAUGACAACGGGGUGCCUGGCUCGAGUACCUGGUGGAAUGGGAGGGGCAUGGACCAGAGGAGCAUUCCUGGGUGGCCCGGGACGAUAUCCUAGAUCCUAUGCUUCUGGAGGAAUUCCAUCGACUACAUCCAAAUUGACCCACACCCAGAGCCCAGGUCGCCCUCAUCGUCGCAUCAGGGCAUCAGGAGCCACCCCUGGAGGAGGAGAGCCUACAAUUGACAAAUUCAUUAAAGUUACAGCAGUAAAAGGGGCGUUUUUGGCCAGAAUAAGCUGCAGUGUGGACCAGACUUCAUGCCACUGGUCAAAAGACUGGUCAUCGUGUGACAUAUCUGUUCGAGUCACCGCUUCACAAGGAUCAAGCUCACUAAAAUCCUCCAAGGGCUUUUAUUGGAAUUCUGCAAUUGAGAGCAGCGCCCCGGGAUUCGCUUUAAAUUGUAUCUGAAAGUGCUUGGCUUGUUUCUUCAAUCUCCGUCCCCAGACAGAUAAAAUAAGUGGCUCUCUGCAGAAGAACGGAGAAGAGACAUUCGCUUCUUUUGGUGCUCUCAUUGUAAUUAUCAUUGAAAUUGAAUUCUGCUGUUUUCUGAGAUACCCAGUUGCAGUUGAAAGCUGAAUAGGCAUCCGCAUAUAACAGAAUUUCAUCUUUCGGGCAAUUGAUGAAGAUUAAUAAUCACAGCAGAAUGGCAGAAUGACACCACAUUGCUAGUAAAUCCCUCAUAAUUCUUCAUUAGGGGUUGAUUUAAUGGGAAAGGUAUUUUGAAAGGCGAUAUAUAUUAAUAAACAGACACCCCUGAGGGCGGUCUUUUUAAUUACAAUCGUUUAGUUUUACUCAUUAAAAUUAUUUCCUAUGUAUGGUUAAACAGUCUCAACAAAAACUGAAAUUCAUAAAAUUAAGCUUAUUGUCAGAUAUUUUAAUUCCAAUUUCACUCCAUUUUUUCAGAGUACAGCCAAUUUACUCAAGAAGAGAACAGGUGCACGAGAGAAACAAGUCAUUUCUUCACUAAUAAAGAAUGUUAAUGACAUUCUAAUGGAGUUUCUAUCAUCAAUUUGGAAUCAAUCCUAAAGGAUUCUAAUGGAAUCAACUGAGAGACCCAUAAGAAUCAGUUCCUGUGUCAGAAUUUCAGUUUAUCCAAUAGGAUCUUAACUGACACUCAGAGGAAGGAAUUUCCAUUAGUGAUCCUGUUCAGUUCUUUAGGCUUUUAUGACUUGAAGGGAGUUCAUGUCCUUGUGUGGGUUUUAUCAUAUGAAUUUCAGGGGAGAAUAUACCACUUUUUAAUAAUUGCUUCCUGGGAAUUUUCUGAUUUUAUGAGAGGCAAUCAUCUCUCUUACAUCUUUCUGCAGUUGAGAGGCAGUGGGGUGUUGAGGCCUAAAGAUAAAUUCUGGCUUUUCAAGUGCUUCCUCAACCUUCAAACGCCCCCUUAUUCCACUUUGUUCACUCUUAACAGCUUUCACAUACAGACGUGAUGAGAUAUAAUAUCUUUAAUCUAGUGUCUGAGUGUUUCUUCGAAUAUGGACACUUUGGCCAUGUGAAAGUAAACUCUUUUAAAAUAAAUUUUUCAUUCUUGUACUAUUUCAGUUUUCUACUAACAAUUUGUAUUAACAAUUAAGACCAAC